CAUGAAAAGGACAAAGAAGCAACACAGAGGGAGGCAUCGGGAGAGGCCCGCGGAUGGGAAGAUCUGACUUGUCACGCAGAUGGGGAAUUUUGCGUUUCCAUGACAACGACAGCCGUGGAGGAAAUGGAUUAGAUUCUCUGCACUGCUCUGGGGUGUGAUGGGGGGUUGCUGUCUGUGUAUGUGAUCCUCCACGUCCUGAAUGAGAUCCUCCGUCUUCCCCCUGCUCAUCCGGCAGCUCACAGGAAGGUGUGAGGGAGGAAAUGCAGCCCUGCUCUAUUUGCUUGCCCAAUAAUCCGAUGAGAAUGCAAAGAAAAUAUAUUUUUUUAGUUAGAGAUUUUUCUUUUAAGUGCAGUGUUUAAAUAUGUGACAUUCAGGGUGGGAUGUUGCCUCUUCUUCUUACUCAUGUCCAGGCUGUCUGACUAAUUUUGUUAUCACUCACAGACAGUCCAUUGUGAAGUUCCAGUCUGCUACUACUUUUUCCAUGCGUGUGUGUCACUGUAUUGUCCAUAUCUCUGUGUUUAAGAAUGUGCUUGAUUAAGCGAGAUGGCCGGUGUAAAGGGGGCCAUAAAAGAACAAUCUUACCAUUCUGCUGUGUCUCCCCUCCAGGGGAUGGCUGACAUAUGGGGACAGUGAGGACAGCAGGAGUCUCUGUGAGUCACGGGAUGAUAAACAUCAGCUGACAAAGUAGCUCUCGGGUUAUUGUAAAGCCUAAUAGUAUAUAUGUAGUGCCCAUGUGAACAAUUUCCUUGUUUCUUACCAUCUCAAAUAAAAGC
ensembl:lncRNA